rnacentral:rRNA from 1 species
UACGUAGGGGCAAGCGUUGUCCGGAUUUAUUGGGCGUAAAGAGCGUGUAGGCGGCUAGAUAGGUCCGUUGUGAAAACUGGAGGCUCAACCUUCAGAGGUCGACCGAAACCAUCUGGCUAGAGUCCGGGAGAGGAGAGUGGAAUUCCUGGUGUAGCGGUGAAAUGCGCAGAUAUCAGGAAGAACACCCGUGGCGAAAGCGGCUCUCUGGAGCGGUACUGACGCUGAGACGCGAAAGCGUGGGGAGCGAACAGG